rnacentral:rRNA from 1 species
AUUGAACGCUGGCGGCAUGCCUUACACAUGCAAGUCGAACGGUAACGCGGGGCAACCUGGCGACGAGUGGCGAACGGGUGAGUAAUGCAUCGGAACGUGCCCAGUAGUGGGGGAUAGCCCGCCGAAAGCCGGAUUAAUACCGCCUACGACCUACGGGUGAAAGGGGGGGAUCGAAAGCCCUCCCGCUCUUGGAGCGGCCGAUGUCAGAUAAGCUAGUUGGUGGGGUAAAAGCCUACCAAGGGGACGAUCUGUACCUGGUCUGAAAGGACGACCAGCCAAACUGGGACUGAGACACGGCCCAGACUCCUACGGGAGGCAGCAGUGGGGAAUUUUGGACAAUGGGCGAAAGCCUGAUCCAGCCAUGCCGCGUGCGGGAAGAAGGCCUUCGGGUUGUAAACCGCUUUUGUCAGGGAAGAAAUCUUCUGAGUUAAUACCUCGGGAGGAUGACGGUACCUGAAGAAUAAGCACCGGCUAACUACGUGCCAGCCGCCGCCGUAA